rnacentral:rRNA from 1 species
AUUGAACGCUGGCGGCAGGCUUAACACAUGCAAGUCGAACGGUAGCAGGAGAAAGCUUGCUUUCUUGCUGACGAGUGGCGGACGGGUGAGUAAUGCUUGGGAAUCUGGCUUAUGGAGGGGGAUAACUACGGGAAACUGUAGCUAAUACCGCGUAAUAUCGAAAGAUUAAAGUGUGGGACCUUCGGGCCACAUGCCAUAAGAUGAGCCCAAGUGGGAUUAGGUAGUUGGUGGGGUAAAGGCCUACCAAGCCGACGAUCUCUAGCUGGUCUGAGAGGAUGACCAGCCACACUGGAACUGAGACACGGUCCAGACUCCUACGGGAGGCAGCAGUGGGGAAUAUUGCGCAAUGGGGGGAACCCUGACGCAGCCAUGCCGCGUGAAUGAAGAAGGCCUUCGGGUUGUAAAGUUCUUUCGGUAUUGAGGAAGGGAUGUGUGCUAAUAGUAGACAUCAUUGACGUUAAAUACAGAAGAAGCACCGGCUAACUCCGUGCCAGCAGCCGCGGUAAUACGGAGGGUGCGAGCGUUAAUCGGAAUAACUGGGCGUAAAGGGCACGCAGGCGGUUAUUUAAGUGAGGUGUGAAAGCCCCGGGCUUAACCUGGGAAUUGCAUUUCAGACUGGGUAACUAGAGUACUUUAGGGAGGGGUAGAAUUCCACGUGUAGCGGUGAAAUGCGUAGAGAUGUGGAGGAAUACCGAAGGCGAAGGCAGCCCCUUGGGAAUGUACUGACGCUCAUGUGCGAAAGCGUGGGGAGCAAACAGG